rnacentral:rRNA from 1 species
AGCAGCCGCGGUAAUUCCAGCUCCAAUAGCGUAUAUUAAAGUUGUUGCAGUUAAAAAGCUCGUAGUUGAAUUUCGGGAUUUAUCCGUCGGUCGGGCUUUUGGGUCUGUACUGGCGUGAUGGAUUCCUACCUUCUGAAUAACCGGCAUGUCAUUAAUUUGGUGCGCCGGGGAAGCAGGACUGUUACCUUGAAAAAAUUAGAGUGCUUAAAGCAGGCUUAUGCCUGAAUACAUUAGCAUGGAAUAAUGAAAUAGGACGGCAUGGUUCUAUUUUGUUGGUUUCUAGGAUCACCGUAAUGAUUAAUAGGGAUAGUUGGGCGCAUUAGUAUUCAAUUGUCAGAGGUGAAAUUCUUGGAUUUAUUGAAGACUAACUACUGCGAAAGCAUUUGCCAAGGAUGUUUUCAUUAAUCAAGAACGAAAGUUAGGGGAUCGAAGACGAUCAGAUACCGUCGU